GAUUCAUUAAACAAAGUAAAAACUUUGUCCUUAGGAAGUUCAUAAGUAUAUUUGGCUAGCCAUUGCUAUUUGGAAACUUUUUGAAUGUUGAUGGCAGUAAUGGGACAGAAAUUAAUCAGUUGGGGCUGGUUUUAAGAAAUGACUUCAGUCCCUAAGUGGUUUGCCAAGUUUCUGUUAAACAUCUCACAUUAUUGAAGAUACAAGUCAAAAUCACUUAUCAGCAGUUCUUCUAAAUAGCAAGGAACAUGUAUUAAAGAGGCCAUGAAGGAAUUUCUAAUGAGAAAAAAUGCUCUUACUUUUUGAGAAAUUAACUGCUCCAAUAAAUUGCAAAGAUAAAAUAGGAAAAGUUAUCACAAUAAUGUCUGUUGUAAUAAAACUAAACUAUACAGCUGAUAACAGUUAAAAUGCCAGAAGGUAAGUUAAUGACAUACCUUUCCCUAAAAGCCCCUUUGGUCCUUACUCUGAAAUGUAAUUCUGACUCAUAUAUGAAAGAUAUGGUAGAAGCUACAUGGAAAUACUGCUUAUGUACAUGUACAGAUUCAUUGCCUAGGAACUUUUGAACAUAUAUAAAAUUUACAAAGCAGAAUAUAUUAAAUGAAACCUUCAGAAAAGUGAAAUAAAAUAAUCCCAGGACCUAAAAUUGAUUCUCGAAAUCUAAAAGAGAUGAAAGUCUUUGGAGAGAGAAAUCAGUCUGAAGUGCUUGCUGGCAUUGGAAAAUUCUAUCAAAGAUCCUGGGAACAGGGUCAAAGAUGGAGUCAUUGAAACCUCCCUAACACUCUCUAUGGGUUUUUGACUGUAGGAGAGGCCUGAAAUAAUUUUCUGCAGUCAUAUUCUCAGACAAGGUAUCAAUUGUAGCAAUGCAGAGGAACUAAUAAGAAUAAUGGGAAAAAGAAAACAAACAGAAAUAACAGGUAGAAAUUAGAAAGUAAUCUGAUGUGGACUUUCUCAUACCUAGUGAUGUCCAAACCAGCAAUGAAUGCAGAAAGUGUGUAUGUGGUAUGUGUGGCUGUGGUGGGGUGAGUGUAGGGAGAGAAAGAGGGGAGUCAGGGAGACAAAGAAGAGGAAGGGGAAGAUCAAAGUUGAAUGAGCAUCAGAAAGCCAAAGAUACCAUAUGCACACAUCCUCAGACACUGAGGCUGAAAAACUCAGAGUCAGCUUCUUGCUUUAAUAAACAGAGCCAUCUUGCUUUACCUUGAGUACCAAAGAAGACAGGCAGGUGCCCUAUGUACACAUUCACAUUCUGACUAACUAAGUAAAAACACAACCAAAGUAGUGAUACAAUUAUCCAACAAAGAAAGAAAACCGAAAUCUGCCAAAACUCUGUUUUAAAAAAAGGGCAUGAAGAAAUAGUGCAUACCAUGACAGAAACAAACCUUUCUGCUCCAAGCCAUCUGUGCCACCCUUCAGCUGGUAAUAAUGUGAUUCUGAGUAGCAAUAGAAGCAAUCAAAAGAAGAGCAUUAAGAAGGCAUGGCAGCAUUAAUAGAUUCUCUUCUGGGUUUCUGGUCUUUGUUUAUGGAUAAUUAUAAUUUGGCAAUGUGUUCAGAGGCCCAUCACAUGAAUGUAUCCCUUGUGUUUUAUUUAAGAAACAGCUCACAAAAGACUUACUUCAGUUUACCACCAUGCCAACUAAAAGCCUGCUGAAAGAGAAAACCUCAAAGUGAUGUAUGAAUUUAAAGUUGUGAAUUAAUGUAAGGAAUUACAGAAAAUUCUCCAACCAGAUUUUUAGAAAAGCAUAUUUAAUGGUUACCUACCCAGUAAAGGCAAAUUUGGCUGUUUUAUUUACAUUUAGAACAAAAUAAUUCCAUUAGUCAACGUUCUUCUAUUUCUCCCUCCCCCUGUCCUUCCCAAGUUGUAGUAGUCAUUCGUCAACUCUCUAUUUAACUGAAGUAAUUUUUAAAAUUUCUACAUAUGUGUGAGAACAUGUAGUAUUUCUUUCCUGUCCCUGGCUUACUUUAUUUAGCAAAAUGUUCUCCAGGAUCAUCCAUUUUACUUCAAAUAACAAGAUUUUAUUCAUCUUAAUGACUAAAUAAUAUUCCAUGUGUAUUUUUAUAUGUGUGUUUGUGUGUGUAUGUGUGUCUGUACACUUUCCUUAUUCAUUUAUCAGUUGAUAUAUGCUUAGAAUUUUUUAAUCUUGAUUGUUGCAAAUAGUACUGCAAUAAACAUUAGGGUGCAGAUAAAUUUAUGACAUACUGAUUUCCUUUCCUUUGGAUAUAUACAUACUAGUGUAGUAACUAAAUAACUAAAUCAUAAGGCAGUUUUUUUUUUUUUUUCUUUUUGAGGAACAUCCAUAGUGUUUCCAUAAUGGCUUUACUAAUUUAAAUUUCCACCAGCAGUGUGAAAGAACUUCAGUCUGCAUCGUUGCAAGCAUUUGCUGUUUUCCAGUCUUUUCAUUUAUAGCCAUUCUACUUUGGAGUGAGAGGAGAAAGUUUCCUAUACAGAGAAAUUAAAGUCAAGAUUCUCUGGGUCUCACAGAUAAGCAGCACAGUGUUGAAAAAGGGACAUUAAGACGUGAGCAUUGAACAGCAACUAUUCCAGCAUCUCGGAAUGUGUUCCAUCACAGUAGCGUAUUACCAGAAAGAAGACCAGGAAUGCAGAAAAAGUGGGGUUUUCAUCAAGAGAAGAAAGAAUCAACCUCAGCAUGCCAGCAGCACUGCAGGCCUGAGAUACAGUGAGAGAAGAAUGGCAUAGAAUGUGGACCUUUAGGAACAACGCCCCCAUGGGAAUGGAGAAACAAGUAGGUGAUCAAAAUUAAUACGUGGACAUAGAAACUUACAUGAAUGCUCAUUGAAGAAAAUCAUUUAAAUCUGAGAAAAAUAUUGCACUGCAAAGGUACUUGAAAUAUAGUGAUUUACUUGGUUCAAGAAUGAAAUAGAAUUCCUUAGACGAUGGAAUACAAACAUUGAAAAUUGCCUUAUUUGAACAAUUUCAAUAUAACCAUACUUAGUGAAUGAAAGAAUGUGAAGGAGGUGGUGAGGACAUUUGGAUAUUAGGCCUCGAUAUUUCAUCAGAGGAAAAUAAUGAAAAAUGUCUAAAAUUAAUGUGACAUAAAGACUGGCAUUUUACUAGAAUUCAAAGGGAAAAAUGGAGGUCUUCUCUUGUUUGCACUUGUUUAAGUCUUACACCGUUGACCUGUUAAAACUAAUGCACAGGCAUUAUGAUGAUAAGAAUACUUAUUUUUUCUUUUUUUAAAAGCCAGAGAGACACAGA